CAGCAGCCGCGGUAAUACGUAGGGGGCAAGCGUUGUCCGGAAUUAUUGGGCGUAAAGAGCGUGUAGGCGGCUCGGUAAGUCCGCUGUAAAAGUCCAGGGCUCAACCCUGGAAAGCCGGUGGAAACUGUCGAGCUAGAGUCCGGAAGAGGCGAGUGGAAUUCCUGGUGUAGCGGUGAAAUGCGCAGAUAUCAGGAGGAACACCAAUGGCGAAGGCAGCUCGCUGGGACGGUACUGACGCUGAGACGCGAAAGCGUGGGGAGCAAACAGG
rnacentral:rRNA from 1 species